rnacentral:tRNA from 1 species
AGAAGUGUAAUCUAUUUUGGAUAUUUCAUUUACAAUGAGAAAGUGUUUUUUGCCAUUUUUA